AACACAGACACACUGCAGUACUUUAUCUGGUUCUAUCUCUCUCUGUGGUUCUCCUUCUGUGUGUUGGUGUUAUUGGAUUUUUCAUCUACAAAUUAAAGCAAUUGUCCAGGAAAAUAAAGGUUCUACAGACAGGAGAUACUUAUGCUUCUCUCCAGCUCUCUGCUGUACAGAACUCUGAUUAUGAAACUCUGCAGACUAACAGAGG